GAUAUGGCUCAGGAUGAACGCUAGCGACAGGCUUAACACAUGCAAGUCGAGGGGCGAGCGGGGAGUAGCAAUACUUCGCCGGCGACCGGCGCACGGGUGAGUAACACGUGUGCAACCAACCCCGUACCGGGAGAUAACCCGCGGAAACGUGGACUAACAUCCCAUGACAACUCGAGAGCCGCAUGGCUCUAGAUUUAAAAUUCCGGUGGUACGGGACGGGCACGCGCGACAUUAGGUAGUUGGCGGGGUAACGGCCCACCAAG
rnacentral:rRNA from 1 species